CGGACCUCAGAUCAGGCAAGACCACCCGCUGAGUU
rnacentral:rRNA from 1 species